rnacentral:lncRNA from 1 species
UUUUUUUUUUUUUUUUUUUUUUUUUUUUUAAUGGUGCACCCAAGGCAUACGGACGUUUCUGGGCCAGGAUGAAUCCGAGCUGCAGCUGAGGCAAUGCUAGAUUCUUUAACCCACUGUGCUGGGCCCGGGAUCAAACCCAUGCCUCUGCAGCAACCUGAGCCCCUGCAAUCAGCUUUUUAACCCACUGUACCACUGCAGGAACACCGAUCCAUCUUUUUAAAACCACGGAGAUUUAAUCUGUGGCCGUAUCUAUGACCUCUCCAGGAGAAUGUUCCACGUGCACUUGAGGAGAGUGUGUAUGCUGUUGCUGUCAGGUGCCAUGUUGUGUGUGUGUGUGUGUGUGUGUUCGAUGUACCUGGUUUACUGUACUGCUGAAGUCCUGUAUUUCACUUAUCUUCCGUCUAGUUGUUCUACCCAUUACUCUGAGUGAGGUACUGGAUUCUGCAACCAUGAUUGUAGAACAGUCUGUGUUUCCCUUCAAUUCUCUCAGUUUGGACUUCACAUAUUUAGAUGGUCUGACAUGAGGUGCACAAAUGCUUGUAACUGUUCCGUCUUCUUGAUGUACUGAAGCAUUUGCUAGCAUGUAAUGUCCUUCUCUGUCUCUUGUAACUGCUUAUGAUUUAAAGCCUAUUUAAUUUGAAAUUAGUAUAGCCAGUCCCAUCCUAUUCUGGUUACUAUUUGCAUGUAAUGUCUUCCUCCAUCCUUUCACUCUCUCAAAAAUAGUUUGUGUCUUUGGGUCUCAAGUGUGUCUCUCAUAGACAACAUGUAGUUAGAUCAUAUGUUUUUAAGCUGUUCUGCCAGUCUCUGUCUUUUGAGAUUGGAGGGUGUAAUCCACUUAUAUUUAAAGUAAUUACUGAUAAGGAGGCACUUAUUUCUGUCCUUAUGCUGUUUUUACUGUAGGCCUAUAGCUUUUUUGUCCCUCAUUCCCUACAUUCCUCUCUUUUGUGUUUAGUUCAUUUUUGGUAGUGAAGCGUUUAAAUUCCUCCUGGAAUUCCUUUUGUGUAUAUUCUAGAGUUUUCUUUGUGGUUGCCUUGGGAUUACAUUAGUGUCCUAACACUGUAACAUUCUAAUUUGAAUUUAUAGCAGCUUCACUUCAAUAACAUAUAAAAACUCUGCUCCUUUAUACUCUGUUCCCACUUCCUUUGGUUGCUGAUGUCACAAAAUAUGUGCCUCAAACAUAAACUAAUAAUUCUUGAAAUGAAUCAGUCUCAAAUUACCAGAUUUGGAGUUAUAAACCAAAGUUACAGUAAUACGAGCUAUUAUAUUAAUUUUUACUUUAAAUACUUAAAUCAUGUAGAAAACAAAGAGCAGCUACAAACCAGUGCUACAGGAGUUCCCGUUGUGGCUCAGUGGUUAACGAAUCCAACUAGGAACCAAGAGGUUGUGGGUUCGAUCCCUGGCCUCGCUCAGUGGGUUAAGGGUCUGGCAUUGCUGUGAGCUGUGGUGUAGGUCGCAGACGCUGCUCGGAUCCCGUGUUGCUGUGGCUGUGGUAUAGGCUAGCAGCUACAGCUCCAAUUAGACCUCUAGCCUGGGAACCUCCAUAUGCUGUGGGUGUGGCCCUAGAAAAGACAAAAAAAAACAAAACAAAACAGUGCUACAAAAAAACUAGCUAUUAUAACUGCCUGUGUAUCUACUGAGAUCUUUAUUUCUGCAUACAUCUUUGGGUUACUGUCUAGUGGUCACAAACUCCUCAGCUUUUGUUCAUCUGGGCAUGUCUGGAUUCUUCCCUCCCUUUUGAAGGACAGCUUUGCUGGAUACAUGAAUCUCCGUUGACAGGUUUUUUGUUUUUUCUUGAGGCACUUUGAAUGUAUCUGCUCACCAUCUUCUGGCCUCCACCAUCUUUUCAGGGACAGAUUUUGUUGAUACAUUUUUUUCCUCUGAAGGGCUACAAUUUCCUAUUUCUUUGUAUGCCCUAUGAUGGUUUUGCUGCAAAUCUUUGAAUCUAGUAAUAUGGUAACUCUGGAAAUCAGAUUCUUCCCCCUUCCCCAGGGUUUGCUGUUGUUAUUUUUUUUGGUCUGUUUAUUUCAUUUUGAUUGUUGUAGGCUGUCUCUGUGCCUAGGAUCAGCCUAAGGUAUAAACUUAAGGUCUUCUCUGGUCUUUUCUGAGCAUUUUCUUAGGAAUGCACAGUCACUUUCUAAUUUUACCCAUAUAUGCAGUUGUUUUUGAGUGUUCUAGUCUUUUAUGUGUGGCUCACAAGGGAGGAAAAAGCAAAAAUGAUAGAGGGGAGUGCUUGGCCUUUUAAUUCUCCUGUAAAUCACUUCAGCUGGAGGGGGAGGGACUUGCUACAAUGUUUGGAAAAGCAACAGUUGCUGUCCCACUUUUUGUUUAUGAUCAGAAGCAGCAAUCAGAGCACAGAUACCUGAUAUUUGGAGGACAGGGAUCAACUGACUAACCCUGGUCCCUACAAGCUGUGCCAAGCUGCUCCAAGAUCACAUGCAUAGCUGCCUGCCACUUAACUGUAUUAGGAGCUGAAACUGUCUAAAAUUAACUGCAAUUUGCCCUCUGAUUCUUCCCCUGAAAGUUACAAUUCUUCAACAGACUCCAGAGUUCCAGAAUAAUUACAUCAGACAGAUUCUGCCUGGGCCACUAUGGUCCAGGGGGGGAGAAGGAUUCCCAGUGCUUCCUGAUGUGCCAUCUCCCAGAAUCCUCUUUAAUGAUUUUUAAAGAAAGUUUUAAGGAAUGAGUUAUGAAGUACUUAAGAGUCCUCAGAGUUGAGUUAAGGCAAAUACAUUCUAUAGGAUGAACAUAUUAUAUAAAAGCACAAACCAGGAACAACUCAGCUAUGCUUUUGGAAAAAAUCUGGAGAGUGGUUACCCCUGGCAGAGGCAGGGUGGACAAUGGUUACAAGGUGGGCUGCUUAGGUUCCGUUUCUGUCUGGCUUCUUCUGGAUGCUGGUUAACAUGGGUCAAUUCAUGUUUGUGAAACUUUACUAAGCUAUGUACUUGUAAUAUGGGCACUUUUCUGUAGGUAUAGUACACCUCAAUACAGUUUUUUUAAUCUUAUAGGUUGAAGAUCUUGCUUGAAGUCUUAAAAAUGAAAUAUAUGCUGAAGGAAUUCACCUACCUCGGGAAGGAAAAUGUUUAUUUAUUUAUUUAGUUAGUUAGUUAGUUAGUUUGGUCUGUCCACACCCACCGCAUAUGGAGGUUCCCAGGCUAGGGUCUAUUUGGAGCUGCAGCUGCUGGCCUACAGCACAGCCACAGCAACAGUGGAUCCAAGCAGUGUCUGCGACCUACUCAGUUCACGGGAACACCAGAUCCUUAACCCACUGAGAAAGGCCGGGAAUCAAACCCACAUCCCCAUGGAUACUAGUCGGGUUUAUUGCUGCUGAGCCACAAUGGGAAUUCCGGAAAUUUAAAAAAAAUAAUUACAGAAGGCUUAUUCACUAUAGAGACACAUAGAGAUGGAACUUGGGGGAAAGACCAGAAGGUCUCUGAGCCUCAGAUUCCCCAAAUGAAGCAAAGGACUGAUAAUAACUAUCUGAUGAGGCUGUUGUAGAAAAUUAAAUAGGGCGACCUAGCUACCAAUAGGCCAGCAAAGUCAUUCCUUUUCCUCGCCCCCCCUUGUUUUCUUUCCUGGUUUUCUAAAGCAACGCCCUCUGACAUGACUUGUGGUGAAGCAAAUGCUCUCCAGCUGCACUGGUGAACAUGCAGCCACUGGCUGUGUGGCCACUGAGCACUUCAAACAGGGCUACCGGGACUGCGGGACUGCGUUUUUAACUUUGCUUGAUUUUAAAUUGUAUGCCGAGUGGCCACUGUGUUAAGCAGCACAAUCCUAGAUCUUGAGAAGUAGAAGAGCUUCGGGCAAUUACUUCUUGGUCCCAUAUGUGCUCUAAGCCUUGACUGGCUAUGACCUCCCACAGUGCCUACUUGCCAGAAUUUUAAAUUCCAUGAAGAAUAGGAUUUGGGGCCGUUUCAUUCACUACUGUUCCCUAUAUUCACGGUGCCGACAAGGCCAGCACACGGUAAACAGUAAACACCUGUUUGGAUGAAUAAAAUAAAAUUGAAUUAACCCAGACUUAUUUGCAUAUUUUUGUGGGGUUAUUUUUACAUAACACUUUUAAUAUCCGAUUGAACAUAUUCAUUUUGAGAAGCGUAAUGAAAGACAGAUCCAAAAAUAAGUUAUGAAGAGAAAUUAAGAUGUCUAGAGUGUGGCCACCACACUUUAAAGUUGAAGCCACAAGGGGCAACUAUAGUCGCACCCCCAAGUUCCCAGAGGAAGAAGAACCAGCUUCUGUGGACGAUGACCAGGAAGACUACAAGCCCCAGUCUUUUAGGGACAGCCCCAAUUUAAACCACUGGUCCCAACAAAACACACCUUUCAUGCUCUGAUGUGCCCAGUUUAGAAGCGAGACAGUCAUGCUGAACCCAACUCAGGAUGGCAGGAACGACAAUGUACUCAAAGCGGAGUGAUGGGUUCCAGGUAAGCUGUGUGGCAAUCACCUUGUAAAAACUGCAUCUUAUUUUGAACAUACGAGGGAAGCUUAAAAGACCCUUAAGUGGACUUCUUGUAAGAGAGGAAUAUUCAUUUUUGAGAUCCAUGACCUAUAGCCCCAGUGGUGUUGGAAUCCAGAAUCCCAGUGGGACAGAAGAAGCAGGUCUUCAUCAGAGCAGCCCAAGCCCCACGUUACCUGCAAUGGCCACAGCUGUUCGUCUCUCGGAGGCUUUUAUUUCUGGGGCCACGUCUCCCAAAUCUGAGUGCCUGAAACAAUUUCAGAAGAAAAGCAUAAUUAAAUUAAUGACACACAACUGUCACUUAUCAAAUUGGCUGCACAUCAAAACUUCUUGAGGCGCCCACCUGUUUUUUCUUUUCUUUUUUUUGGGGGGGGGGCGCUGCACCCAUGACAUAGGGAAUUCCCAUUUGCAGACAAGAAGAUGCUGGAUACUGUUAUGGAAUGACGUUAACGACACGUUCAUUGGUGGAGGAAACGUCAGCUCACAGCAGAGUAUGUACAGUCUGAUUACUAUUUCAUAAAACUAGGUCCAUUUUUCUCUAGGUGCAUACAGGGAGCUCUACCAGGAUGUGCAUCUAAAGUUCACAGUGUGAGCAGGAAGGGAUGAUCCUGAAUUUAUUUAAGCAGGUUGGAUAAGUAGAGUCUAUUUAGGAUGAGCCACGGGAGGAGUUCCUGUUGUGGCUCAGAGGUUAGCGAACCCGACUAGCAUCCAUGAGGCCACGGGUUAGAUCCCUGGCCUCCCUUGGUGGGUUAAGCAUCCGGCGUUGCCGUGAGCUGUGGUGUAGGUCACAGAUGUGGCCAGGGUUGCUGUGGCUGUGGUGGAGGCCUGCAGCUGCAGUUUCAAUCCGACCCCUUGGCUGGGAACUUCCACAUGCCGCAGGUAUAGCCGUAAAAAGAAAGAAAAACAAAAUGGAUUAUUUUAGGUAUAUCGUAGGAAUGAGUGAAAUGUGUUGCUUCCCUCAGAAGUCAGGGUUCCGCUGCUGAAGAAAGGGCAUACACAUGAGGAAUGGAGGAAGUUAGAAAAGAACUCACAGAGGCCCACUGGGAUCGGCGAUGCCAGCGUGCACUCGUGAUUUCUCUGCGCGUGCUCAUGUCCACAAGUGCACCCAUCGUGUAUACGUUUCCUAGCUCUGUCCACUGAACAGCCAUGAAGCAAGGCCACUGUAGUAGCAGCGGGCACACCGAGCACUCUUGAAUAUCAUUCCUCACUAAAAGACACCAGGUCCCCUUGAAGAAACUGUAGACCCCAGGGCUGGAGCAGCCAAAGAACACCAUGAGCCUGAGUAUCUUAAUUCAGAAAAUUUCGAAGUGCUCAAAAAAAAAAAACCAAAACAAAACGCCGGGGCAUAUCACAGGACAGAGAAGCCCUUUUGAAGGGGUUCCCACUACCAAGUGUGAGUCAACUGGAGCAUGAAUAUUAUUAAAUACAGGAACUGACUUAAAACCAUUGACGAACAGGCAUUAGGGAGUCCAUAUAUACAACAAACAGAUAAAGCGGGGGUGGGUGGGGGGGUGGGCUCUGGCUUCUAACAGAAUGCGCAUGUGGAAGGGUGUGGCAGGUGGAAGAGCAUCACUUUUAGAGCCAUCCUCAUCAAGAAU